rfam:Desulfobacteraceae bacterium IS3 Ga0073107_10012, whole genome shotgun sequence.
CCCGGCAAUAAAUUGCCGGGCUAUUCUCAGAUGUCCCUCCGGGACA